ensembl:lncRNA
GUGGCCCUUCUGUCCUUUAGGAGCUGAGGGACAUUCAGAAGGAAGGUGAAACCCACAGAAUUCCAGCUGAUGGAGCCCACAGAGCUGCUCUCCAGACGUGGCCCAGCUGGGACACUCCUGGCUGCCCAUCCCCUCCUCUGUCUCAUUUAAUGACAGCAAGUGCCAAAACCACCAAAAAUCAGAAGAACUGAUGAGGGGCAGGGACUGCCCUGACCAGGCUCUGCAGGACCUCAGUCCCAUCAGGAAUAAAAGCACUUUUGAACAGCCCUCACAGUUUGGGGUCAGUGGCUUCUGCAGGGCCCUCUUAGAGGAGUUCCAGGACAUUUUUGAGCGUUGCUGUGCUGCUGACUCACCCCAAAUCCUAAUGACCCAAACCCUGUGGGGUGAGAGCAGCACACCCUGGCGUGACCAGGGCUGGAGAAGCAGGAAAACCCCUCUGGCACUGGUCUGUGACCCGAGUGUUCCCAAGGAUGGGAUUGAUGGGGCGCCUCACCCUCAGCAUUCCUGCGCUGGUGGCAAGGGCAGGAGAUCCCCAGAUGGAGGGCUCUGCCAUGCACCAUCCAAUUAACCCUUCUGGCAACUUCCAUUAAAAAUAAAGGGGCCUCCAGGUCCCUGCUGGAAUGGCCU